UGCCAGCCGCCGCGGUAACACGGGGGGCGCAAGCGUUAUUCGGAAUUAUUGGGCGUAAAGGGCGCGCAGGCGGUCUUGUCCGUCAGGUGUGAAAGCUCGGGGCUCAACCCCGGAAGUGCACUUGAAACAGCAAGACUUGAAUACGGUAGAGGAGAGAGGAAUUCCUGGUGUAGAGGUGAAAUUCGUAGAUAUCAGGAGGAACACCGAUGGCGAAGGCGGCUGCCUGGCCUGAUACUGACACUGAGGCACGAAAGCGUGGGUAGCAAACAGGAUUAGAUA
rnacentral:rRNA from 1 species